CUGACACACAGCACAAUGAUGAUGUCACUGAUUCUACUGCUCGGGACACUGGGGCUCCUUGUUCAGGAAUCAUCAGCAGAUAUAAUUCUGACCCAGUCUCCUAAAUCUCAGUCUGUUAGUCCAGGAGAGUCUGUCUCUAUCAGCUGUACAGCCAGUUCAAGUACUCGUAAUAAUCUCCACUGGUACCUGCAGAAACCUGGAGAAGCUCCUAAACUCCUGGUUUAUUCUGCUACAACCCGUCAGUCUGGGAUUCCAGGUCGUUUCAGUGGGAGUGGAUCUGGUAGUUCAUAUACUCAUUACACUCUGACCAUCAGUGGAGUCCAGGCUGAAGAUGCAGCAGAUUACUACUGUCAGCAGGGUUACAGCAAUCCGUUCACACAGUGUUAG